AGAUUGUGUGAGUCCAGGAAUUGGAGGCUGCAGUGAGCUAUAAUUGUGCCAACUGUACUCCAGCCUGGGCAACAGUU
rnacentral:snRNA from 1 species